GCCUGCACGAAGUUGGAGUUGCUAGUAAUCGCAGAUCAGAAUGCUGCGGUGAAUGCGUUCCCGGGUCUUGUACACACCGCCCGUCACACCAUGGAAGUUGGGGGUGCCCAAAGUCGGUUAGAAAAUAAACUGCCUAAGGCGAAACCAAUGACUGGGGUGAAGUCGUAACAAGGUACC
rnacentral:rRNA from 1 species